GCCGUCCCUGGGGAGGGAAGCCAGUGGUUAGCAGACAGGACUUCUGUCUGUCCCUUUACAUGGGCACACAGUAACCAAGCAAUUACAAAGGAUUGUUAAACUGUGCAGCAGAUGGAAGAAGAGGAAGCUAAGGCAGCGUCUCUCCUUACUAAGAAUAAAACUGGAAGCGUGAGAGAGGCUCAGCUAACCAAGUUUCUGCAAGAGGAGGCGUUCAGGGCCCAAGCAGAACCAACACUGGUUUGGAGGAUGAUGCCUGAGAUUCCACCAGCCCUUGGGAGUCGGGCCAGGACUGCUACGAUCUUGUCUCAAAAGAACAACACGGAGACAGUGAGAUGGCUCAGCAGGUACAAGCGGCUGCUCUUGCAUGAGGACCCGAGUUUGAUCUGCAGAUCCCACAGUGAAAGAAGAGCCAAUUCAAGAUUGUCCUCUGACCCCAACUAAAUGUGACUGCCAUACAGGGAGAAGACAGUUCACAGAUCAUAAUAAAACCUAAAAGGAAACCUAUCUACAUUAAGAUAAAGACUAUAAUAAAGAUGAUAUGUCAAGUUGA
rnacentral:lncRNA from 1 species